UGGUUCCUUUUACUCUGAUAAUAUUGCUGAUAUUUCUAGAAAUAGCUUGUUCAUCCAUUUAUUAAUCUCAUAAACCCCUGACUGGGGGAAACAGAGUGGAAAGUGGUCAGAAAUGGGGCUGGAACAGUAAUCAGGAAGCCGGAACCUCCAUUGCCUCAAGAGCUAAGUUCAGUGUCAGGCCUUUGUCUCGAGGGCAACGGGGAACUCUGUAAAGGUAUUUAAGUUGGGGAAUGUAGUGAUCAGCAGCAUUUGGCAGCAAUCACCCUGGGCUGGAGUGGGCCUGACAGGAAUGGGCAAAUCUUGGGGCAGGAAAUCCAGUCAGAAGAUUAUGACGAUAAAGCAGGAAUGAGAGUGGAAGCAGAAGGCCCAGGUCCCCGGAGGUCCCGACGCCCGGAUUCCACAGCCUGUGAGGGUCCCUUGAGCAGAGCGGGACGAGGCCACUGGCACUACGUCGUGACUUCACCAACAGCCUGCAGUACUCGUUAACGAGAUUUCGCCAGGCCCCUUGGACUAACGCCAGGAUUCUCGGUGCCCGCAGUCAGCGCUCUGGGAUUAGACAACGCCCCACAGGCCGCGGCUCUCUGCUGACCCUCAGCAGCGAUGAGACCGGCGCGCACAAGCCAGCAGCCACUAGCUCUCCCACAAGGCCGAGCGCGGCCAAAGGGCAGCCCCGCCCGCUCCGCCUCCCCCAGCUCUAUUGGCUAGUGCACCUGCCACUCAGCCGCGCGCCGGACUCCGGCUUCGGGCCUGGAGGAGGGAUCCCAAGCCUCCUCGGCUCGGCUCGGCUCGGCUCGGCUCGGCUCGGCUCGGCUCGGCUCGGCUCGGCUCGGCUCGGCUCGGCUCGGCUCGGCUCGGCUCGGCUCGGCUCGGCUCGGCUCGGCUCGGCUCGGCUCGGCUCGGCUCGGCUCGGCUCGGCUCGGCUCGGCUCGGCUCGGCUCGGCUCGGCUCGCUUGUCCUUGAGGUUUACUGUGUUUGGCAUCGCAGUUCCGACGGCAGCCGCCGUUUCGCGACCCACGGCGGACUUGCAUAAACACUUUCUAGUUGGAAUCUCACCCUGUGAGGUGGGCAAGGUAGUGAUAUUCCUGUUUGACGCCGACAGAAAUAAGAGAGAUUGACUCUCAGAACCAUGUGGCGGGAUUUUAAAGGAGGAUCUUAACAGUGGCUCGGACAGACCCGUGUUUUCUGCUCCUAGCAUUAACUACGUCGUUAAACCCUUCUGAAUUUAUUUCGUCUGUGAAAUGGGGAAAAGAUAGCCACCUUGCAUAACUGGUGAAGAAUUCGUAAACUGACAGCAGAAUCUAGUAAGAGGACUGGCCCGUGGUCGGCUCUUAAUGGUGUCACAGAAUAAAGAAAAAGACUGGGAGAGAGAUGGGAGCUGAUAGACCAGAGGAGACCAAAGACUGAAACUGAAGACUAAACCAUGGAAAUUGGGAACAAGCACUUACUCGCUUAGAGGGUGAAAAAAGUGAAUUUGCCUACAGGGCCAAUUUGGAAGCACCUCUCCCUGGAAGCCAGUCAAUGAAGAGCCAUUGGAGGAUUUUAAAUAAGGAACCGAAAAAUGGAGUCUGAAAAUAGAGGCGCAGAGACCGGUCAACCACAAUGAAGAACAAGCCAUUUUGACCUCCAUCCUGGCUCAUCUCCUCUGUGUUCUCAUAGCAUCAUAUUAUAGAAUGGAUCACAAACGCCUUUGCAGUUGCCUAUUUAUUUGUCCAUUUCUCCCUCCAGACUGUUCUUCCCCAAACCAUCAUGGACCAGUUGGACUCUGAGAAGAAAAGUUUCUGAUCUUUAGUUCAUUCUUCCAACUCUCUAGAAAGCAGGAAAACUGAGAAUGAAAAAUUCUAAAUUACUCAGGACUCAUGGGUUGCCAAUAGAAGAAAUACAUCUUAAACUAGCUUAAGCCUGAAAGGGAAAUGUAUUUGUUCAUGUAACUGAACCAUAACGAAGGAUGGUGGACUGAGGGACCUGAAAACACCCUCAGGACUCCCUCCCUCUCCUUUGUGCUCCUGUCUGAUGCCGUCUUCCCAGACCUGCUCACUCUCCAUAAGGUGGGGAUGUGGCCAUCAGCAACGUGUACUUCCCCGAAGCUUGUGACCUGAGUAGAUAGGCAUCUCCCAACCCACAAGGAUUGAAAAGUUCCUCUAGGAAUUAUGUGGAUUGGCCCAUUCACUAUGACAUGUUCCCCCUAAGCAGCUAAAGGAACUGGGUCUGUUACCAGAAGAGGUGGGAGAGGGGUGCUAGGCAGAUUGAACAACAGCCACUACAACAUCUGAGGAGGAGACCUCCGUGAAGGCCACCAAGUCUGCUAGCAGAUAUUUCCUCCCUCGGAUCUCUCUCCCUGUCCUCACAGUCUCAUAAGUGAGGAUUAAAUACUACAUGUGGCCUAGGAGAUCUUAGACCCUCCACACGAAGAUAUAGUAACAAUCAACAUCCUAGUGUUCUGGCAGAGAAAAAAUCAGAAAGAAUCGUUUGCCUGAUUUUUCCAUCAAUACCAAUAAUUAAUUAGAGAUGAAAUUUGUGAUGGACUCAGAGAAUUAGAGAAGAUCUAAGGGAAUCUAGAUGAUUUCCUACCCCUAACCAGAGCCUCACAAAAAAGGGUGAAGAUCUAUGGCCGUCUUGCGUUUGGUGUGAGGCUGGACAAGGAAGUUCCUAAGGUCCUUUAGACUCUGUGAGAUCAUGAGUCCGUAAAACCCUUCCAACUUGAAAUUAGUUGAUUCCUUCCUUAAAUUUUCUGGGACAUUCCCCCACUCCCUCCACUCUUAUUAGCUGAUUUUACUGACCAAUAGGCCUUGAAGUUGGGCGUUCCAUCUAGAUGUCUCACAUCAACUCACCUUUUGCAAAUUAAGCCCAUACCCUUAAAGAGGGGAAUUCUCAAGCCAUUAGAAACUAGAGAGUCAGCUGGGCAUGGUGGCUCACGCCUGUAAUCCCAGAACUUUGGGAGGCCAAGGUGGGUGGAUCACUUGAGGUCAGGAGUUCGAGUCCAGCCUGACCAACAUGGCGAAACCCCGUCUCUACUAAAAAUACAAAAAUUAGCCAGGGGUGAUGGCAUGCACCUGUAAUCCCAGCUACUCAGGAGGCUGAGGCAGGAGAAUUGCUUGAACCUGGGAGGCGGAGGUUGCAGUGAGCCAAGUUUGCACCACAGCACUCCAGCCUGGGCAACAGAGUGAGACUCAGUUUCAAAAAACAAAAGAACAAACAAACAAAAACUAGAGGGUCUCCUCUUAGUUCUUAAACCCUCUUAGUCAACAUUUGUGAGCCUCUUUUCUGUAUGUUUUGGCAUCUUUAUUCCUUUCCUUCGUGUCUUGACCAAAUUCACCAGAUCAUGACUCAGAACAAAAUCCUGAGGUUGAAUAUAGAGGUCUAGAACAUCUUCAAAUUAACUGUUUCUCCUCAUAGAGAAUUAAAGAAAUUGAGAAAGCAAGAG
rnacentral:lncRNA from 1 species